UUUAGAAGACUGCCAUUAUACGUUCAAGUUAGAAGCAUUGUUGAAAAGAAAAGAUAUUCUUUUUAUCCAGCGGAGUGCCGGUGGUAUGGGUGAGUGCCACCCUUUGAUUCGAGACAUCUGGGCCAUGGUCUGUGGCGAGGUGGCAUUCCAGGCUAAGCAUGUUUAUAGAGAGGCCAACUAGGCUGCAGACUAGGUGGCUUUAUAAGUGGCCAACCACUCCGGAGAUACCUUUUGUUGGAAAGAGGGAGUUGCCCAGUGCGCUCUAGGAUAAGUUGUCUUUUGACUUUUUUGAAUGUAUCUGUGCUAGAAUUGUAUGAAUCAUCUAUCUCAACCACGAAAAAAAAAGAAUAUCUCCUUUGCAUUUAAACAAGGUUUAUGCUAUCUGGAAUACUUUAUUGUUGGCAGGCCACCAUGUUUGGAUAAUAACUGCAAUAAAUGAUUUUGAUGACUGGGCUUGGAGAGUGAAUGAGGAUUUGAGCAUUAUAUAUGAGUUCUUUUGGGAAAAAAUUUGAGGAGUGCUGAAAACAUGAAAAGAGUAG
rnacentral:lncRNA from 1 species